rnacentral:tRNA from 1 species
GGGUGAUUAGUAUAAAUAAAAUAUUUGAUUUCGACUCAAAAGAUCCUGGUUAAAAUCCAUGAUUGCCUA